GGGGAAACUAAUAUAUGAGAUAGACGCAUUACAUGCAAAGCAAGAUAAUUCAAGCCGUGAUUUGUCAUAAGUGCGAUGAUUAUGGCUUACAGCUCAUGAAAACUCCAAAUCCACAAUCUCAGUAAAUUAGAAUAUUACAUGCAAUCAAUAAAACAAGGAGUGUACAUAGAACAAUAUCGGACCUCUGAAAAGUAUAAGCAUGCAUAUGGACUCAGUACUUGGUUUG